UACGUAGGGGGCAAGCGUUGUCCGGAAUUAUUGGGCGUAAAGAGCUCGUAGGCGGUUUGUCACGUCGGAUGUGAAACCCUGAGGCUCAACCUCAGGCCUGCAUUCGAUACGGGCAGACUAGAAUUCGGCAGGGGAGACUGGAAUUCCUGGUGUAGCGGUGAAAUGCGCAGAUAUCAGGAGGAACACCGGUGGCGAAGGCGGGUCUCUGGGCCGAUAUUGACGCUGAGGAGCGAAAGCGUGGGGAGCGAACAGG
rnacentral:rRNA from 1 species